rnacentral:lncRNA from 1 species
GAGUCUUCUUCCCUGUUUUUUUUUUUUCUGGGUGGGCUUUGUGGCUUUAGGCCCAGUGGGCCGGGUUAUCACAACUUUAAAAAAUUAAUCUUAUUUAUAAGCACUCCUCAUUUGCCCUCAAGUAAUCUUAAAAUAAACGUGUUAAAUGUAUUUAAAUAUGUCGUAUAAUCCGUUAAUCUAUUUUAACCCUUUUAGUUAAAUGGAUCG